rnacentral:rRNA from 1 species
AUUGAACGCUGGCGGCAUGCUUUACACAUGCAAGUCGAACGGCAGCGCGGGCUUCGGCCUGGCGGCGAGUGGCGAACGGGUGAGUAAUGCAUCGGAACGUGCCCAGUAGUGGGGGAUAGCCCGGCGAAAGCCGGAUUAAUACCGCAUACGACCUGAGGGUGAAAGCGGGGGACCGAAGGACCUCGCGCUAUUGGAGCGGCCGAUGUCGGAUUAGCUAGUUGGUGGGGUAAAGGCCUACCAAGGCGACGAUCCGUAGCUGGUCUGAGAGGAUGACCAGCCACACUGGGACUGAGACACGGCCCAGACUCCUACGGGAGGCAGCAGUGGGGAAUUUUGGACAAUGGGGGCAACCCUGAUCCAGCCAUGCCGCGUGCGGGAAGAAGGCCUUCGGGUUGUAAACCGCUUUUGUUCGGGAAGAAAGCCUCUGGGCUAAUACCCCGGUGGGAUGACGUUACCGGAAGAAUAAGCACCGGCUAACUACGUG